rnacentral:rRNA from 1 species
UACGAAGGGGGCUAGCGUUGUUCGGAAUCACUGGGCGUAAAGGGCGCGCAGGCGGCCAUUCAAGUCAGAUGUGAAAGCCCCGGGCUCAACCUGGGAGGUGCAUUUGGGACUGGAUGGCUUGAGAUCGGGAGAGGAGAGUGGAAUUCCCAGUGUAGAGGUGAAAUUCGUAGAUAUUGGGAAGAACACCGGUGGCGAAGGCGGCUCUCUCGGAGCCGAUACUGACGCUGAGGCGCGAAAGCGUGGGAGCAACAGGAGU